UGGGGAAUAUUGCACAAUGGGCGAAAGCCUGAUGCAGCAACGCCGCGUGCGGGAUGACGGCCUUCGGGUUGUAAACCGCUUUCAGCAGGGACGAAGGUUUUCUGACGGUACCUGCAGAAGAAGCACCGGCUAACUACGUGCCAGCAGCCGCGGUGAUACGUAGGGUGCGAGCGUUGUCCGGAAUUAUUGGGCGUAAAGAGCUUGUAGGCGGUCCGUUGCGUCGGAAGUGAAAACUCAGGGCUUAACCCUGAGCCUGCUUUCGAUACGGGCGGACUUGAGGGAUGUAGGGGAGAACGGAAUUCCUGGUGGAGCGGUGGAGUGCGCAGAUAUCAGGAGGAACACCAGUGGCGAAGGCGGUUCUCUGGACAUUUCCUGACGCUGAGAAGCGAAAGCGUGGGGAGCAAACAGGCUUAGAUACCCUGGUAGUCCACGCCGUAAACGGUGGGCACUAGGUGUGGGACCCAUUCCACGGGUUCCGUGCCGUAGCUAACCGCAUUAAGUGCCCCGCCUGGGGAGUACGGCCGCAAGGC
rnacentral:rRNA from 1 species